rfam:Schistosoma mattheei strain Denwood, Zambia genome assembly, scaffold: SMTD_scaffold0000288
AUUCAGCUGACGAGUCUCACAUAAGACGAAAUGCACGUCCUAGAC